rnacentral:rRNA from 1 species
AGAGUUUGAUCCUGGCUCAGAUUGAACGCUGGCGGCAUGGCUAAAACAUGCAAGUCGAGCGCGAAAGUCCUUCGGGGCGAGUAGAGCGGCGCAAGGGCGAGGAAUACAUUCCUACGUACCCCAAGGUCGAGGAUAGCUCGGGGAAACCCGGGGUAAUACUCGAUGUGGUGCUUCGGCAUCAAAGGCUUGCUGCCUUGGGAGCGGGGAAUGUCCUAUCAGGUUGUUGGUGAGGUAAAGGCUCACCAAGCCAGAGACGGGUAGCGGGUGUGAGAGCACGACCCGCCGCAUCGGGACUGAGACACUGCCCGGACUCCUACGGGAGGCUGCAGUAACGAAUAUUCCGCAAUGCGCGAAAGCGUGACGGGGCAAUGCCGCGUGUGGGAUGAAGCCCUUCGGGGUGUAAACCACUGUCAGAAUUCAGGAACACAAUGACCAGACUCAAAGGAAGGGCCGGCUAACUCUGUGCCAGCAGCCGCGGUAAUACAGAGGGCCCGAGCGUUAAUCGGAAUCACUGGGCUUAAAGAGUGCGUAGGCGGACAUGUAGGUAUUUUGUGAAAUCCCUCGGCUCAACCGGGGAAUUGCUUGGUAAACCACAUGUCUUGAGGCAGGUAGGGGUGGUCGGAACGCUAGGUGGAGCGGUGAAAUGCGUAGAUAUCUAGCGGAACGCCAAAGGAGAAGUCAGGCCACUGGGCCUGUCCUGACGCUGAGGCACGAAAGCGUGGGUAGCGAACGGGAUUAGAUACCCCGGUAGUCCACGCCGUAAACGAUGCGAACUAGAUCGAGGAGGUUUGACGCCCUCUUGGUCGAAGCAAAAGUGUUAAGUUCGCCGCCUGGGGAGUACGGUCGCAAGGCUAAAACUCAAAGGAAUUGACGGGGGCUCACACAAGCGGUGGAGCAUGUGGCUUAAUU